rnacentral:rRNA from 1 species
AAUUCGCCCUUAGAGUUUGAUCCUGGCUCAGGAUGAACGCUGGCGGCGUGCCUAAUACAUGCAAGUCGAACGAAUCUCUUUUAGAGAUGAGUGGCGAACGGGUGAGUAAUACAUAGGUAACCUGCCCCUGUGCGGGGGAUAACAGGAGGAAACUCCUGCUAAUACCGCAUAGCCAUGAGCACCGCAUGGAGCUCAUGCCAAAUAUCCUUUCGGGGAUAGCGCAGGGAUGGACCUAUGGCGCAUUAGCUGGUUGGCGGGGCAACGGCCCACCAAGGCAACGAUGCGUAGCCGGCCUGAGAGGGCGGACGGCCACAUUGGGACUGAGACACGGCCCAGACUCCUACGGGAGGCAGCAGUAGGGAAUUUUCGGCAAUGGGGGAAACCCUGACCGAGCAACGCCGCGUGAGCGAAGAAGGCCUUCGGGUCGUAAAGCUCUGUUGUAAAGGAAGAACGGCGCAUACAGGAAAUGGUAUGCGAGUGACGGUACUUUACCAGAAAGCCACGGCUAACUACGUGCCAGCAGCCGCGGUAAUACGUAGGUGGCGAGCGUUAUCCGGAAUCAUUGGGCGUAAAGAGGGAGCAGGCGGCCGCAAGGGUCUGUGGUGAAAGACCGAAGCUAAACUUCGGUAAGCCAUGGAAACCGGGCGGCUAGAGUGCGGAAGAGGAUCGUGGAAUUCCAUGUGUAGCGGUGAAAUGCGUAGAUAUAUGGAGGAACACCAGUGGCGAAGGCGACGGUCUGGGCCGCAACUGACGCUCAUUCCCGAAAGCGUGGGGAGCAAAUAGGAUUAGAUACCCUAGUAGUCCACGCCGUAAACGAUGGUCACUAAGUGUCGGGGGUCAAACCCCGGUGCUGCAGUCAACGCAAUAAGUGACCCGCCUGAGUAGUACGUUCGCAAGAAUGAAAC